rnacentral:rRNA from 1 species
GAUGAACGCUGGCGGCGUGCCUAAUACAUGCAAGUCGAGCGAACAGACGAGGAGCUUGCUCCUCUGACGUUAGCGGCGGACGGGUGAGUAACACGUGGAUAACCUACCUAUAAGACUGGGAUAACUUCGGGAAACCGGAGCUAAUACCGGAUAAUAUAUUGAACCGCAUGGUUCAAUAGUGAAAGACGGUUUUGCUGUCACUUAUAGAUGGAUCCGCGCCGCAUUAGCUAGUUGGUAAGGUAACGGCUUACCAAGGCAACGAUGCGUAGCCGACCUGAGAGAGUGAUCGGCCACACUGGAACUGAGACACGCUCCAGACGGCUACGGGAGGCAGCAGUAGGGAAUCUUACGCAGUGGGCGAAAGCAUGACGGAGCAACGCCGGGUGAGUGAUGAAGGUGUUCCGAGCGUAAAACUCUGUUAUUAGGGAAGAACAAAUGUGUAAGUAACUAUGCACGUCUUGACGGUACCUAGUCAGAAAGCCACGGCUAACUACGUG